GACGAACGCUGGCGGCGUGCUUAACACAUGCAAGUCGAACGGACAGGCCCAGCUUUUGUGGGGUGCUCGAGUGGCGAACGGGUGAGUAACACGUGAGUAACCUGCCCUCGACUUUGGGAUAACUUCAGGAAACUGGGGCUAAUACCGGAAAGGAGCUCCUGCCGAAUGGUGGGGGUUGGAAAGUUUCGGCGGUUGGGGAUGGACUCGCGGCUUAUCAGCUUGUUGGUGGGGUAGUGGCUUACCAAGGCUUUGACGGGUAGCCGGCCUGAGAGGGUGACCGGCUACAUUGGGACUGAGGUACGGCCCAGACUCCUACGGGAGUCAGCAGUGGGGAAUAUUGCACAAUGGGCGGAAGCCUAAUGCAGCAACGCCGCGUGCGGGAUGACGGCCUUCGGGUUGUAAACCGCUUUCGCCUGUGACGAAGCGUGAGUGACGGUAAUGUGUAAAGAAGCACCGGCUAACUACGUG
rnacentral:rRNA from 1 species